rnacentral:lncRNA from 13 species
AAUCUGCUUUGAAGGAUAUAUUCCUGACAUUUCUAUGGAAACAAGAAGACUGUGAAUGGAAAGCCUUCAGGCAUGAAUGAGCUUAAUAAGUCAUGGAUUCUGGGUUAGUGUUUGAAAGGCUGGAUUUGUAUAACAGUAUGCUUCACAGUUAAAGGCUGCGGAAAGAGGAGAAGGUAACUCAGGAAAGGGGCCCAACUCACUCAGGCACAUUCAUUUUAAUAAAGUUCACAGAAAGGUGAGGAACUUAGAAUCAUUAGCAGC